rnacentral:rRNA from 1 species
CCGGCUCACGAUGAACGCUAGCUACAGGCUUAACACAUGCAAGUCGAGGGGCAGCAUGGUCUUAGCUUGCUAAGGCCGAUGGCGACCGGCGCACGGGUGAGUAACGCGUAUCCAACCUGCCUUACACUCUUGGACAGCCUUCUGAAAGGGAGAUUAAUACAAGAUGUUAUCAUGAGUAAGCAUUUUCGCAUGAUUAAAGGUUUACCGGUGUAAGAUGGGGAUGCGUUCCAUUAGAUAGUAGGCGGGGUAACGGCCCACCUAGUCUUCGAUGGAUAGGGGUUCUGAGAGGAAGGUCCCCCACAUUGGAACUGAGACACGGUCCAAACUCCUACGGGAGGCAGCAGUGAGGAAUAUUGGUCAAUGGACGAGAGUCUGAACCAGCCAAGUAGCGUGAAGGAUGAAGGUUCUAUGGAUUGUAAACUUCUUUUAUACGGGAAUAAACGAAUCCACGUGUGGAUUUUUGCAUGUACCGUAUGAAUAAGGAUCGGCUAACUCCGUGCCAGCAGCCGCGGUAAUACGGAGGAUCCGAGCGUUAUCCGGAUUUAUUGGGUUUAAAGGGAGCGUAGAUGGGUUGUUAAGUCAGUUGUGAAAGUUUGCGGCUCAACCGUAAAAUUGCAAUUGAUACUGGCAGUCUUGAGUACAGUUGAGGUAGGCGGAAUUCGUGGUGUAGCGGUGAAAUGCUUAGAUAUCACGAAGAACUCCGAUUGCGAAGGCAGCUUACUAACCUGUAACUGACAUUGAUGCUCGAAAGUGUGGGUAUCAAACAGGAUUAGAUACCCUGGUAGUCCACACGGUAAACGAUGAAUACUCGCUGUAGGCGAUAUACAGUCUGCGGCCAAGCGAAAGCAUUAAGUAUUCCACCUGGGGAGUACGCCGGCAACGGUGAAACUCAAAGGAAUUGACGGGGGCCCGCACAAGCGGAGGAACAUGUGGUUUAAUUCGAUGAUACGCGAGGAACCUUACCCGGGCUUAAAUUGCAACCGAAUAUGGCGGAAACGCUAUAGCUAGCAAUAGCGGUUGUGAAGGUGCUGCAUGGUUGUCGUCAGCUCGCGCCGUGAGGUGUCGGCUUAAGUGCCAUAACGAGCGCAACCCUUGCCGAUAGUUACUAACAGGUUAUGCUGAGGACUCUGUCGGGACUGCCAUCGUAAGAUGUGAGGAAGGUGGGGAUGACGUCAAAUCAGCACGGCCCUUACGUCCGGGGCUACACACGUGUUACAAUGGGGGGUACAGAGGGCUGCUACCACGCAAGUGGAUGCCAAUCCCAAAAACCUCUCUCAGUUCGGAUUGAAGUCUGCAACCCGACUUCAUGAAGCUGGAUUCGCUAGUAAUCGCGCAUCAGCCACGGCGCGGUGAAUACGUUCCCGGGCCUUGUACACACCGCC